GGGAGUUCCACAGGGCAGGUGCCACUACCGAGAAGGCCCUCUGCCUGGUUCCCUGUAGCUUUGCUUCUCGCAGUGAGGAAACCGCCAGAAGGCCCUUGGUGCUGGACCUCAGUGUCUGGGCAGAAUGAUGGGGAUGGAGACGUUCCUUCAGGUAUACUGGACCGAGGCCGUUUAGGGCUUUAAAGGUCAACACCAACACUUUGAAUUGUGCUUAUUAAAAAUAAGGUUUAGAGUGGCUCUUGUCAUCACUAUUUGUCUCUCUUCCUCAGAUUCCCUUCUGGAGAAAGUCAGCUCAGGCACAGGGACCCGCUCUACAUCUUCUGCAAUGAAGACAGAAGCAGAGAGUUAAUUCAGCUUCUUUACCAUCACACAAGCCCAAGAGAAGAGCCAAACAGCAGCUUCAAAAUGGCCCUGAAAGUCCCUUCUCCAGGCAAUGGAGAAGGGACUUUCCAGUUCAUUUUGAAGCUUUUCUCUCUCCCUCUCUCUCUCUCUCUCUCUCUCUCUCUCUCUCUCUUUUUGUCUUCUUUCGUACAUGUCUCACUCUUAGGUUUCUCUAGCAAUGAGCUUCCCAGUUCAUUUAAAAACACCCCCACCCCUUCCUGUAGAGAAGUGUUUCUAGCAGAAACAAUUGAGAAAUCUGGGUGUAGAAAUAGCAUUCAACAUAUGUUGAAAAAUAUUCUUAGCGUUUUUACGUGUUCCUGGCUGAGCCCGGGUGAACCUAUAUAACUCCUCCCUCCUCCAUCUCUGUAUCUGAAAUGUACCUUUGAGCGGAGUCAGUUAGGAUGCACAUAUACACAGACCUGCAUUCAUAUACAUAUCACUAUGUAUUAUUAUAUAGAGUGAGGAACUAUGCACAUUGCUAAGAACAUGUGGGAGAGCCAGUGUGGUGUAGUGGUUAGGAGCAAUGGACUCAUAAUCUGGUGAACCGGGUUUGCGUCUCCACUCCUCCACAUGCAGCUGCGGGGUGACCUUGGGCUAGUUCUCUGAAGUCUCUCAGCCUCACUCACCUCACACGAGUGUUUGUUGUGGGGGAGGAAGGGAAAGGAGAUUGUUAGCCGCUUUGAGACUCCUUAGGGUGGUGAUAAAAUGGGAUAUCAAAUCCAAACUCUUCUUCUUCAACAACAACAACAUUUGGAACUUUGGGUGCCAAGGGAGUGAAAGGUGUGCUAAAGGAGGAGAAUGAGAUUGCAGAGCAGUUGAAUGAAUUAUUGGCCUCUGACUUCACAACAGAAGAUUUAGGGCAGACCCCACAGCAACGUUUGCAGGAAGAGAGUCUGAGGGACUCACUGGUGAUGAGAGAUGAAGUUCUAGGCUUAAUCUCCUGGUCAGAAGGGCACCUGGGUUCUCAAAGAAUUCAACUGUGAAACUGAUGAUCUGCUAUUAAAAAUAUGGAAUUUGUCCUUCAGAUCAGUCUCCAUACCUGAGGACUGGGAAGCAGCUCAUGUAACACCAUCUUUUUAAAAAGGAUCCUGGAAAUUACAGGCUAGUUAGAUUAAGGUCUGUCUUGGGGAAACUGGUG